GGUUUUUUUUAUGGACACAUGUGCUAUAAACUUUGAUUGGUAGAGAACUUUGUUAUUCAGCUUACCAUUAGAAUUGGGUAUCAUAUUUAUUUUUAGGGAUGCAGCCUCAGGAGUACACUCUGCAGAAUUGGGGCUGUUGCUAUACAUGUCAUGAAAUCGAGGUUAUGAUGAAUACCAUAAAAGUUGCUUCCAAAAGUACAUUGGAAAGGAAACUUGAAAACUAAUGAUCACUCCAUUUAUUACUCUCUCAUGUGCCUUAUUGGAGUCAUAAGCAGAUUUGCCCCCUAUUGUUGUUCAUGUGACCGGUCUUUUAGUUUAUGGUCCAAUUUGCACUGGGUGAUUGUGUUCAUUCUGGUUGAAG